ACCUACAUGGUGUCAGAAGUGGGAUCUGAAGCCCUCUCACCUUCACAGACUGGCACCUUCUGGAACUGGAGCACUCACCUUUGAGACCCUGUUGACCAGCAUAGCACCUGGCCCAGAGGAGACACUCAACACAUGCUUAUUAACCUGAAAGGUCCCAUGAAUCACACCUGAGUUUAUGCUAACAAGACGACUCAGGAUGGGUGCUGGUCACACCAGAAAGAUCAAUCAUGUGAUUGCAGGGUUGAGGCUUUGAGCCACAUGAUAUCAGCCUGACUGCCAGGGAGAGGAGAGGGACUGACCGGAGAUGGAGCUCAAUCGUGUGGUCACUGAUCCAAUCAAUCAUGCUACAUAAUGAAACCCCAACAAAAACUCUGGACACCAAAGAUCAAGUGAGCUUCCCUGGUGGUUAUCAUGCGCUGGGAGGGUGAUGCAUCCCGAGGACAUGGAAGCUUUGCAUUUGGGACCCUCCCAGACUUCUUCUUGUGCAUCUCUUCAUUUGACUGGUCCUGAUUUGUAUUAAAGUACAACUAUCAUUCUGACUCGGAUGAAGAUACAAUGGCUG